ensembl:lncRNA novel transcript
AGCAGCUGUCCAGAGACCACCACAGCCUGUGAGAGUCUCCAGUGGACAACGGUUGUCUGAUUGAGACUCUUCCUGGUGUGCUCAGAAAAACCUGUACUUUUUUUGUUUCAAUUAGUUUUAUAGACAUUUCAAGCUGGGGCCUGCAUUUUUUUGUGCAACCCUGGGGUUCAACAAUUUGAAACUGCUUCACACCAAGAGCAGAGAAACUCGCUCUGUGGUUAUCACCUCAGAGAGACACAAUACCCAAAACCUGAGAACAUUCGCCUUGUUUUGUUGGAGUCAACACAUCUGCCAGGUUAUCUGUCUUCAGUCAACAUGGCUCAUAGAAAUCCAUGCUGAAUUAUUUUUUAGGAAGUUCGGUUUUGUUGACGAUGGAGUUAAAUGUUAUUCGUGUUAAAGUGAGUCUUUAAGAAGAUGGCCGGCUGUGUUUCUACAUAGUUUUGACAUCUGUCUUCAUUUCUCAUUUUUCCUCUAAGAUGUUCUGCACAUAUUUGUCAAUUUCUGUGGUCUGACUCAGAGCACAGGAAGUGUGGGUUCAGCAGAGGACACAUCUGGAACCCCUUUCCUGCUGGAGUGGACAGUGGAGGCAGCGCCACAGUGGAUUUUCAUUGGUGUCUCCCCUGGCUGCCUGGUGGCUGCCUGUCAGAGCCAGCGCUUGAGAACGUGGCUGCUAGUGAAAGUGUUUAUGUGUUUAUGUGACCACAGGUAGCAAACAGAUAAGAAACUAUCCGACUGAGGAGCAGCAAGGGUCUGGAGCUACUGCGAUUGGGUGACCUGGGUAGAGACCCUCCUGGAGAUUUCACUCUGACUAGAACUGGAAGGACAAACCCACCGCAGGUAUAGACUCUUGCAUACAAACUGUGUCUUUUUCCUGAGUCCCAUCUUACAACAAAAGACAUACCCAUCAAAUCAGAUUUGCAAUCGAGUUGUUUGUGUCAAAAGAGAAAUGUUGUAAUUAACCUUGAGACUUUUUUCAAGCAGCAGGUUUGCCUUAUAAAUGAAAAAUAAUGAAUAAGCCAAACUGUACCCAGGGGUAUGACAGAGUUUUAACUGGCUUCAUGUAUAGCCAGUGUGGCUGGGAGAAAUGUGAUCUCCAUUUCAUUUCAGAUCUUUCUCUGAACCUUCCAUAUGCAUGCAUGAUGGAAUGGGUUCCCAAAUCCAGCUUGAAAUGUAGUGCAUGACAUACUACCCACGCAAAUAAAAUGAAUAGUUCAAAAUUAUGGGGCACUGACAGAAAAAGCAGACCUUUUAAUAUCUAGUUUCAUUGAGUAAUGCAUUUAAAAUAAUUUGCAAACUGGAAAGGUAAUUAAAAGGGUCCUUUUACUCCCCUAUGCCACAUGUCACAGUCUUUAAUGUUUAAUGAGAGUUGCUCUUUGAGUCUAGGAUUUAGUGAAAGACAUUUGGCUUGGACAAGAACUAAGACAAAUGCUGCUAACAUGAUUCUAUUCAAUUUAGUGCUUUAAAUACUUUCAGGAAUGGUGGAUUAUUUUCAAAGUAAGGUUUGUGGAAGCUGGGAAUUUUGAAGUAUUUUACCUGGAAAUUAUCUAUCGGAAUGCUUCUGUAUGCUUUAAAAAAUGUAUACUCUACAUAUGGACACAAAGAAAGGAACAAGAGACACUGGAGCCUACUUGAGGGUAGAGGGUGAGGAUUGAAAAACUACCUAUUGGGUACUCUGCUUAUUACCUGGAUGAUGAAAUAAUCUGUGCACUGAAGCCCCGCAACACACAUUGACCUAUAUAAUAAAUCUGCACAUGUGUCCCUGAACCUAAAAUGAAAGUAAAAAUAUGUAUAUUCUAAAUGGAAAUUUGUCAAUAUAAAAAACUUCUGUUAAUUUUCUAGAUUAUAAAAUAGUUUGAGCUAACAGAAACCUAUAGUAUUUUUGGUCUUCAUUAAAAACACAAUAUAUUUGUGUAUGAACAUUACAAAGGUAUAUAUUUUGCUACAGAACUGUACAAUUAUCCUCCAUAUCCAACAUAAUAGAGACAACAUUAUUUAUAAUUGUAUGGACAUAGUACUGUAAAAUCGAAAUUUUUAUGUCAGUUUCCUUGACUGAUUUAAAAACCAUUAAAAAUAUAAAUACUC